rnacentral:rRNA from 1 species
CAGUCGCCACGGUAAUACGUAGGGUGCGAGCGUUAAUCGGAAUUACUGGGCGUAAAGCGUGCGCAGGCGGUUUUGUAAGGCAGGCGUGAAAUCCCCGGGCUCAACCUGGGAAUGGCGCUUGUGACUGCAAAGCUAGAGUGCGGCAGAGGGGGAUGGAAUUCCGCGUGUAGCAGUGAAAUGCGUAGAUAUGCGGAGGAACACCGAUGGCGAAGGCAAUCCCCUGGGCCUGCACUGACGCUCAUGCACGAAAGCGUGGGGAGCAAACAGGAUUAGAUACCCCGGUAGUCCCUGUCUCUUAUAC